UUUCCGUAGGUGAACCUGCGGAAGGAUCAUUAACGAGUUAGGGUCUUCUAGGCCCGACCUCCCAACCCUAUGUUUAUUGAACCUCUGUUGCUUCGGCGGACCCGCCUCACGGCCGCCGGAGGACCGCUGCAAGGCGUCCUCUGGCCAGCGUCCGCCGAUGGCCAACCACUUAAACUCUGAAUGAAUCGUGUCAUAUGUCUAAGUCUAUGAUUAAAUUAAGCAAAACUUUCAACAACGGAUCUCUUGGUUCUG
rnacentral:misc_RNA from 1 species